rnacentral:rRNA from 1 species
UGAAACAUCUCAGUACCUGGAGGAAAAGAAAUCAACCGAGAUUCCCCAAGUAGUGGCGAGCGAAAGGGGAAGAGCCCAAACCUGCUGGAUGUAAUAGGCGGCAGUCGUUGUUCAGCGGGGGUUGUAGGAGUGGGUGUGAUAGUCCUGCCGGACUAUCGGGAAGUCAGAAAACUCUGCGUUAGUCGAAGCGAGCUGGAAAGCUCCGUCAUAGAAGGUGAUAACCCUGUAGGCGAAAAUGGAGAGUCUUCCUAAUUCAGUCCUGAGUACCAUGAGGCACGUGAAACCUUAUGGGAAGCCGGGUGGACCAUCAUCCAAGGCUAAAUACGAAUUUCCGACCGAUAGCGAGCAAGUACCGUGAGGGAAAGCGUGAAAAGAACCCCGGGAGGGGAGUGAAAUAGAACCUGAAACCGCGUGCUUACAAGCCGUUAAAGCACGAUGUUACGGGCUUGCCCGUAACGAGUGUGAUUGCGUGCCUUUUGUAGAAUGAACCGGCGAGUUACUGUAUGUUGCGAGGUUAAGUACGUGAAGUACGGAGCCAGAGCGAAAGCGAGUCUUAAUAGGGCACGGCACCGCAAGGUGCCAAGUAAUAUGCAGUAGACCCGAAGCCAGGUGAUCUAUCCAUGUCCAGGAUGAAGCACGAUUAAACUCGUGUGGAGGUCCGAACUGAUCGUUGUUGAAAAAACGUCGGAUGAGGUGUGGAUAGGGGUGAAAUGCCAAUCGAACCUGGUGAUAGCUGGUUCUCCCCGAAAUAGCUUUAGGGCUAGCGUUCAGGGUUUAUGCGCAGGGGUAGAGCACUGACAGAGCUAGGGGCCUUACCGGGUUACCGAACUCCAUCAAACUCCGAAUACUGCGCAAUAUACCUGGGCAGUCAGACUGUGGGGGAUAAGCUUCAUAGUCGAGAGGGAAACAGCCCAGACCGUCGGCUAAGGUCUCUCAAUCUAUGCUAAGUGGUAAAGGAAGUGAGAGGUCUCAGACAGCCAGGAGGUUGGCUUAGAAGCAGCCAUCCUUGAAAGAGUGCGUAAUAGCUCACUGGUCGAGACAGCUUGCACCGAAAAUGUAAGGAGGCUCAAGCAUGGUACCGAAGCCACGGAGUUCAGGAGCAAUCCUGGAUUGGUAGGGGAGCAUUCUGUAGUAGGUAGAAGCCAGACUGCGAGGACUGGUGGACGAGGCAGAAGAGAGAAUGCCGGUAUAAGU